rnacentral:rRNA from 1 species
AUGGAUGACAACCACUGUCCGAUAGUUAGUUGGAAUGUACGCGGGCUUAACAUGCUAGCCAAGCGUGACGCUGUCUGCGAAGCGGUCACGGCGCAUCGACCAGCAAUUGUAUGUCUUCAGGAGACGAAAAUUGACACUUGGUCGCCGGCUCUAGUUAGGGAUAUAGGAGGUAGCAGGCUAGCCGACUGCGUAGUGCUGCCUGCGAUCGGGUCCAGGGGCGGGGUGGCCAUUCUUUGGGAUAGCGAGAUUGUCUCGAUCGUGUCCCAGGCAAUAGGAGAAUUUGCCAUCACUACAAAGGUAACGAUCAGGCAAUCGGCCACCACAUUUUGGCUGACCGCGGUCUAUGGUCCGGCAGACGACAGUCGGGAGGAUGCUUUCCUUUUGGAGCUAGCAAGAUCUGCCCCCCCCCCCCUGGCGAACCUUUGCUCCUCAUUGGUGAUUUCAACAUAA